AUGCAUAUAUAUGUAUAUAUAUGCACAAAACACAGACAGAACUUGACAGCUUUUGCUAAAUAAUUACAUUACAUAUCAGAAAUUCAGAAUCAAAUUACAUGGAGCAUCAGAUGUUUUCAAUAUUUUAUUUUCCAGCCAUUGUCUGGAAAAUAUGGUGAGGAAAGAUAAAAGUAUCAAUUUCAGCCAAGAGAUCCAGGGACAAUAGUAUAGUCGAUCCACAAUAUAUCUAAAGAAGAGAUAGAAAAUUAUGAAAUGAAUAGUUUAGCAAAGUUGCUUACACUACAACAGAAAUAACUCUUAGCGUCAUUAAAUAUUGACACUAAUAAAGAGUGCUAAAGUCUUUACCGGUAUUAUUAAGUGCCAUUAGAACCAAUGACGCUAAAGGUGAGUGACAAUUGCCGCUUAGCAAUAGUGUUAAAGAGCAACUCAAAGAACAACUAUUGCUUGCUAUUUUGAGCCAACAAUAAUAUUUAUUUGUAUUCUUGAUUAUGUUCAUUUAUAGAUUAAAUAGAAAAAUCUUAAAAAAUAUAUCCUCCAACAUACAUUAUAUUUAGGGAAAUGUUGUAAAGGUAGUUGUUGAUGACAUAAACAAGGUGGAAAAAAGCUUGUGUAUGCAUGAUUUUAAUGCUUGUGCCAACUUUUAAUAUUGCUAUAUAUGUGUCCAAACUCCUAAUAGACUAUCUUUAUCAUAUAUAGGUGGAAACUCUUACACAACUUCAAGAGUAAGCAACUGAAUAAGGAGGAGACGGCCAAAUACAAAGCAGCAUAAGAAAUGAUCAAGUCAUCACUUAAUUCUAAGGUAAGUUAGAGUCAUUUUUAUGAGCUAUACAAUGUUCACAAAGCACUGUAAGUGUGGAUAUAUUGAGACAUGCAAAGUACCAUUUGUACAUGAGUUUGGUCCUAACUCAAGUUUAUGGCCCACAAUGAUUCACAUCAUAUAGGUUUAGUGUUUACAAAUUUAUAGGGAGGAAUAAAGGGUUGGCAAUAGUCUUGCUCUUUACAUAUAUACCUGGAUUUUGUUGGUGGCUGCACCCACACAUCACGCGCUACGCUCUUACCGUUGGACCAAAGCCUUGUGGGCUUUCUAUUAUAUAUAUAUUCCAAUGGCUUGACCACUCUAUUUGUUUUUCUCCUUCCUAAUUGCUAUGUAGGAGAAUGGAGAUGUAGUUUUAUAGGUUACUUGCCCUUCUUGGGAGAUACUUCCUUGUAAAUUUAUUCAAUUUAAUGCAUAUUUGAAUUUCAAAUCCAUACUAUGUUCCCGUUUAUCUUUCUAAUCAAUUUUCCCUUUUGUAUAUGAUUUAUCUAUGAUGUAAAUAAAGAAUAUAUUGAUUAAAAUGUCAGUUGAUUACAGG
rnacentral:lncRNA from 1 species